CUAAACCUAAGCCUAAGCCUAAGCCUAAGCCUAAGCCUAAGCCUAAGCCUAAGCCUAAGCCUAAGCCUAAGCCUAAGCCUAAGCCUAAGCCUAAGCCUAAGCCUAAGCCUAAGCCUAAGCCUAAGCCUAAGCCUAAGCCUAAGCCUAAGCCUAAGCCUAAG
ensembl:ncRNA cTel29B.2 ncRNA